GCGUUACCAUAGCAACCCUGCUGCAGAGUCUGUGAGAGGCUCUUGGCCUCUACCUGGUCUGUGGAAAAUCAAACUCUGGGCACAAGUCAUGAAGCCAGCACGUUGGGGAGACACCGUGUCACAAUGACAAGGAACCCUACAAGGCCUGUCAGGGAAGAUGGGGUAGAAUCCUGAGGAUGCUUACCCCACAGUGCUGAUGGGGAGGGACCACUAUCCCAUCCACUACUGCAACUCUGGAGACACAGCCCUCACAUCUCUCCUAUAUAACAUGAGGCCUAAUCUGCAGAGAAAGAGCAUCCAAACCUGAGCCAAAGGGCACUGGGGAAAAGCUCAUGGAACUGAGGGUGAAGGAACAAGGCCAACACCCGCAUUUCUGCACAGAUGCAUCUCCCAUAAAGAAAAGAAACCAUUAAUUUACAGGGCACUGUUCAAGGCCCACUUCAACUGGGAGUUAAGAGCAUGGAGAAGGAGCACGUUUCCCCUACCAUGGACAAGGAGGGACAGGAAUGUGCUCUUGUCCUGGCAUUGCAUGUACACGAUGGGCAGGAAACUCUUCAACGGUCAGUAACCCCACACCCCAGUUCACAGUGCUAAGUCUGAGGCUUCCUCAGAACAUUAGAGAUCUCCUCACUCCCUCACCACUGCCACCAGGCUAAGAAGCAUGGAGUCAAAACAGUGGAAUAUAGCUGGGCCAAGUGCAAGAAACCACGUGUGGGAAGAGGCACAAAGGGAAGGCACAGCAAACUCGGGAGAUAUUAGCAAAGUAUCAUGAGAGGGAUUUGAAUUUCCUGGUCCUCAGAAGGUUGUUACUGCCAUAACGACUUUUAACCCCAGCCUACCCUCUCAUCAACAUGACCACAAACCCCUAUACUAAGGCAGUUAUCUGAGAGAAAACUGCUCGUCAAUAACCUAAAAACUAUCCCCUUUCAAUGUCAGUGGGCUGAUGAAAAAAUAAAAAUAAUAAAAAAAAGAUUUACCCCAA